UAGUAAAGGAUUUGAUUCCUGGCACCGGU
rnacentral:piRNA from 1 species